rnacentral:sRNA from 1 species
CUUCAGGAUUGGAUUCUGUAAAGGAUGAACCAGAGAAACUCAGGGAGGAACAAAUGGAGGGGGAUGGUUUUAAGGAGAAGUUAUCAGACUCUGUGUUGAUAGAUGAGAAGCUUGAAGAGUACAGUGAUUGUGAUCGAACAGCAACCACUUCCCGUUCUCACACAGAUCCAGUAUCUUCUCAAUCUACUCACCAGACCCCGGAAAGCUUUAGGACUCCAAUAACAUGUGAUGAUGAUACUUUUGUAUCUGUCUCUGGGAUUUCUAGG